UACGUAGGGGGCUAGCGUUGUCCGGAAUCAUUGGGCGUAAAGCGCGUGUAGGCGGUCCGGUAAGUCCGCUGUGAAAGUCGGGGGCUCAACCCUCGGAUGCCGGUGGAUACUGUCGGGCUUGAGUACGGAAGAGGCGAGUGGAAUUCCUGGUGUAGCGGUGAAAUGCGCGGAUAUCAGGAGGAACACCAAUUGCGAAGGCAGCUCGCUGGGACGUUACUGACGCUGAGACGCGAAAGCGUGGGGAGCAAACAGG
rnacentral:rRNA from 1 species